rnacentral:rRNA from 1 species
GAAUUCGAUUCAGGCCUAACACAUGCAAGUCGAGGGGUAGAACACUUCGGUGUUUGAGACCGGCGCACGGGUGCGUAACGCGUAUGCAAUCUACCUUGUACAGGGGAAUAGCCCAGAGAAAUUUGGAUUAAUGCCCCAUAGUAUAUAACCUUCGCAUGUUGGUUAUAUUAAAGUUCCAACGGUACAAGAUGAGCAUGCGUCCCAUUAGUUAGUUGGUAAGGUAACGGCUUACCAAGACGAUGAUGGGUAGGGGUCCUGAGAGGGAGAUCCCCCACACUGGUACUGAGACACGGACCAGACUCCUACGGGAGGCAGCAGUGAGGAAUAUUGGUCAAUGGUCGCAAGACUGAACCAGCCAUGCCGCGUGCAGGAAGACGGUCCUAUGGAUUGUAAAGUGCUUUUAUACAGGAAGAAACCCUCCCACGUGUGGGAGCUGAC